rnacentral:tRNA from 1 species
GGGGGUGUGGCUCAGUGGUAGUGCAUUUGUUUAGAAUGCAUGAGGCUCUUGGUUCAAUCCCUAGCACCACAG